CUCCGCAAAAUGCGCAAUUUAAAGUUGGUCAUAUUGCAUCUUAGGCAAGCAUUGGCUAUUCAUACACACACACAUACACAUAUAUUAUGUUUCUGUGGUAUAAUGCGGAGAGCAUGGCAAUUUGUUAUAUACACUACGCAACAGUUGGAAUGAUGUAAAUCCCAUCAGAGUAUGAGGAUUCUCGUCACCCUCAAUGCAUGGGAAAUUGGACAGGCAGCAGCGCAUGGAGAAGGGAGAAGGCCAAGAGCAAAGCGGAAUCCACGACCCUUCCAUGCUCACAGCAACCACACCUUGUGCGAUAUUUGGA